rnacentral:rRNA from 1 species
UACGGAGGGUGCAAGCGUUAUCCGGAUUUAUUGGGUUUAAAGGGUGCGUAGGCGGCCCGUUAAGUCAGUGGUGAAAGCCUCCAGCUCAACUGGAGAACUGCCAUUGAUACUGACGGGCUUGAGUACAGACGAGGUUGGCGGAAUUGAUUGUGUAGCGGUGAAAUGCAUAGAUACAAUCAAGAACUCCGAUUGCGUAGGCAGCUAACUAGGCUGUAACUGACGCUGAGGCACGAAAGCGUGGGGAGCGAACAGG